CAGGACAGAGAGCAGCAACCGGUGGUUCGAUCUCGGGUUAGGUUUCGACGACGGAGGCUACGUGCAGUGUCCACCGGGAGACGAAGCCCGUAAGAUCCCACCUGUCCUCCACGCCGUGCGUCCGGAACCUCCACCGGUUUAUGAGUGCGUCGAGUUUAGGUUUUGUUACUGGUGGAGACCUGACUGGAUCAGGAUGUUGGUGAUAGUUGAAGCUGUGAAGGUGAAACUGUACAUUGACCAUUAGAUUUCGUUCGUCUUUUGAGGAAUCUGAGCAACAGUGAAUACGGAAGGGCUAGUUACAUCCUUGGGAGAUGUUAUGCUGCUUUAGUGAAAGCAUGGGCUAUCACAGAUUGGCUGCUGACCUUGUUAUUACCAAUUCAAUCUUGGAGGCUGAUUCUAUUCGAGUUCUUCACUCGGUCAAGAUCGGGUUGCUUGGGGCUAUGGACCAUUGUUUACUACUGCUUUGAUUAUUUAAAGACAUAUGUAAAUAUCAUAUUUUUGUCAUGUAUGAAAUGAAGUAAAAAGAGGUAGGAUUUGUCAGCUAAUUUUGGGAUUCUGUCCCUUGGAAGCAUAUGGCUGCCACUGUAAACACUGAUGUAUCUAAAACUUGGU